UGGGGGAUAUUGCACAAUGGGGGGAACCCUGAUGCAGCGACGCCGCGUGGGUGAAGAAGUUCUUCGGAACGUAAAGCCCUAUCAGCAGGGAAGAUAAUGACGGUACCUGACUAAGAAGCCCCGGCUAACUACGUGCCAGCAGCCGCGGUAAUACGUAGGGGGCAAGCGUUAUCCGGAUUUACUGGGUGUAAAGGGAGCGUAGACGGAAUAGCAAGUCUGAAGUGAAAUGUAGGGGCUCAACCCCUGAACUGCUUUGGAAACUGUUGAUCUUGAGUACCGGAGGGGCAGGCGGAAUUCCUGGUGUAGCGGUGAAAUGCGUAGAUAUCAGGAAGAACACCGGUGGCGAAGGCGGCCUGCUGGACGGUAACUGACGUUGAGGCUCGAAAGCGUGGGGAGCAAACAG
rnacentral:rRNA from 1 species